rfam:Fomitiporia mediterranea MF3/22 unplaced genomic scaffold FOMMEscaffold_1, whole genome shotgun sequence.
GCCUUUGUAGCUCAGUGGUAGAGCGUAGCACUUGUAAAUUUUAGAGAUGCUAAGGUCUCUCGUUCGAUCCGGGGCAGAGGCA